CUGCUAAUCAUCUGGGGAUCUGAUUAAAAUGCAGAUUCUGAUUCCAUGGUCUAGCACAGGGCCUGAGGUUCUGCAUUCAUAACGAACUUCCAAGGGAUGUUGAC
rnacentral:pre_miRNA from 1 species